rnacentral:lncRNA from 1 species
CCAUGACAAUCGAUCUUCGACUGAUCUCCUACAAUAAGUGGCCUCCUUUCGGCCUCCUGUAAGAACCAGACUCCAUCCAAACAUCCAAGCGGAUGGAUUCCAAACGAGCUCCUGCAAGAAUCGGACUCCAUUCGAAUUUCUAUAGUGGAUGGAUUCUGGAUGAGCUCCUGCAAGAACCGGACUCCAUCCGAACUUCCACAGCGGAUGAAUUUCGGACGAGCUCCUGCAAGAAUCGGACUCCGUCCGAACUUCCACAGUGGAUGGAUUCCAGAUAAGCUUCUACAAGAAUCGGACUCC